GGAGAGGUUCGGGAGUUUGGUUUAACCGGCCUGACUCGAAAUCAGGUGAGCCUCACGGCUCCGGGGGUUCGAAUCCCUCCCUCUCCGCCA
rnacentral:tRNA from 1 species